rnacentral:rRNA from 1 species
GAUGAACGCUAGCGGCAGGCUUAAUACAUGCAAGUCGAGGGGCAGCACAGAUAGCAAUAUUGGGUGGCGACCGGCAAACGGGUGCGGAACACGUACACAACCUUCCUUUUGGUGGGGGAUAGCCUUUGGAAACGGAGAUUAAUACCCCAUAAGAUAUUGUGACCGCAUGGUUAUGAUAUUAAAGAUUUAUUGCCAGAAGAUGGGUGUGCGUAUGAUUAGGUAGUUGGUGAGGUAAAGGCUCACCAAGCCGACGAUCAUUAACUGGUGUGAGAGAACGACCAGUCACACGGGCACUGAGACACGGGCCCGACUCCUACGGGAGGCAGCAGUAAGGAAUAUUGGUCAAUGGACGGAAGUCUGAACCAGCCAUGCCGCGUGGAGGAUGAAGGUCCUCUGGAUUGUAAACUUCUUUUAUAUGGGGCGAAAAAGGGCCAUUCUUGGUCAACUGACGGUACCAUAUGAAUAAGCACCGGCUAACUCCGUGCCAGCAGCCGCGGUAACAC